AUACGGAGGAUCCGAGCGUUAUCCGGAUUUAUUGGGUUUAAAGGGUGCGCAGGCGGCCAUUUAAGUCAGCGGUUAAAUCGUGGGGCUCAACCCCAUUCUGCCGUUGAUACUGGGUGGCUUGAUUGCGGUCGAGGUUGGCGGAAUUCGUUGUGUAGCGGUGAAAUGCAUAGAUAUGACGAAGAACACCGAUUGCGUAGGCAGCUGACCAGACCGCAAAUGACGCUCAUGCACGAAUGUGCGGGGAUCGAACAGGAUUAGAUACCCUGGUAGUCCGCACAGUAAACGAUGAAUACUUGUUUUCGGCGAUAUAAUGUCGGAGGCAAAGCGAAAGCGAUAAGUAUUCCACCUGGGGAGUACGCCGGCAACGGUGAAACUCAAAGGAAUUGACGGGG
rnacentral:rRNA from 1 species